UGCCUCAGGAAGCCGAGUGCAUCUGGAUUUCUCACCAUGGCCUGGGCCCCUCUGCUCCUUGCCCUGCUCACUUACUGCUCUGGUUCUGAUGCCCAGUUUGUGCUGACUCAGCCGCCCUCAGUAUCAGCGUCUCCUGGGCAAACGGUGACGAUCUCCUGUGCCAGGAGCAGCGGCAGCAUCACUGCUAGCUGGAAUUCCUGGUACCAGCAGAGCCCUGGCCGAGCUCCAGUACUGAUUAUAUAUGAGGAUAGCAAGCGGCCCUCAGGGAUUCCAAGUCGAUUCUCUGGUGCCAUUGACAGCUCUGCCAAAACCAUCACUCUAACCAUCUCUGGGGUUCAAGCCGACGAUGAGGCUGAUUAUUACUGUGCUUCAUAUGCUGGCAGUGGCAAUUCCACAGUGCUGCAAGCACAUGGGGAACUGAGACCAAAACCUCCCACAGCAGCUCACGUGAAACUCCUCUGCACUGGUCUCACUGUGUCUUUGUGCUGCCUGAGGCCCUGCAGCGAAAUUAACUGUCUCUCCCCUGUCACGGGUGUUACAAUCCCAAAUCAAAGGCAAAUUGUGAGGUAG